rnacentral:rRNA from 1 species
AUCAACUUUCGAUGGUAGGAUAGAGGCCUACCAUGGUGGUAACGGGUAACGGGGUGUUAGGGCACGACACCGGAGAGGGAGCCUGAGAAACGGCUACCACAUCCAAGGAUGGCAGCAGGCGCGCAAAUUACCCAAUCCCGACACGGGGAGGUAGUGACAAUAAAUAACAAUACGGGGUCCUUUUGGAUUUCGUAAUUGGAAUGAGUACAAUUUAAAUCUCUUAACGAGGAACAAUUGGAGGGCAAGUCUGGUGCCAGCAGCCGCGGUAAUUCCAGCUCCAAUAGCGUAUAUUAAAGUUGUUGCAGUUAAAAAGCUCGUAGUUGAAUUUCGGGGUUAGUGGGCUGGUCGUGCCACAGGUAUGCACUGGUCUUACUGAUUCCUCCUUCCUGAUGAACCGUAAUGCCAUUAAUUUGGUGUUGCGGGGAGUCUGGACUGUUACUUUGAAAAAAUUAGAGUGUUUAAAGCAGGCUAACGCUUGAAUACAUUAGCAUGGAAUAACGAAAUAGGACGUUCGAUCUUAUUUUGUUGGUUUCUAGGAUUGACGUAAUGAUUAAUAGGGAUAGUUGGGGGCAUUAGUAUUCAAUUGUCAGAGGUGAAAUUCUUUGGAUUUAUUGAAGACUAACUACUGCGAAAGCAUUUGCCAAGGAUGUUUUUCAUUAAUCAAGAACGAAAGUUAGGGGAUCGAAGACGAUCAGAUACCGUCGUAGUCUUAACCAUAAACUAUGCCGACUAGGGAUCGGAUGAUGUAAUUUUAUAAUGACUCAUUCGGCGCCUUACGGGAAACCAAAGUGGUU